CUGGGAAAAAAAGCAUGCAUGAACCAUAUUUUAUAGUUUGCUUUGUAGAUUCGAGCCAUGAUUUCAGGGAACAGAACCAAAAACAUGAAAAUAAAGAAAUUAUUUGAGGAACAGCACCCAAACCGAAACACAAAAGUGAUCUAUACUGUUCCAGAACAGAACCUCUAUUUUAAAAGCAUGGGAACCAGUUAAUGACGUUAAUUUACAUUCAGGGCAUUUUUUUCUGUCCCACAAAAAAUUAGCAAAAAAAAAGCACCUAUGCAAAAGCCCUCACUCUGUCAAAAACAAUUUUUAUAUCAAAGUACUACCUUUGAUUUGACAGCCUACACAUGCGCAGUUUACCGUUAGACACGAUAACGUGUUUUUACGCAUGAGUUUAGAUCGGGGAUUUCAAUUUAUGCUUAUCGUCAUACUGUUCUGUUUUUGGCUGUAUUCUUUCUAGUCAAAACCCUUCGCCGGGGACCAUAUCGCAUAACAUAUUGCGACAUGAAAUGGACAGCUGGCAACUGAUGUGUUCAUUUCACUCCAUGGCAUCGGCUUGGCAGGACAUAACAGUCAUAUCCUACUGGUUUUGAGCUCGUGUUGCACCAUUGCAUAUGAAGAUAAUUUUUUAAAUUAUCAAUUAAAAAUACAUCGGUGACAACUUGAUCAAGCCUAUGAAUAUGCAAAACUGUUUACAGAACCAUUGCACAUGAAUAAAGGUAGUUGUGGUUCUCACAACUUGAACCAGCACUCGAAUCUGAGCAGUGAGUUUAGUCAGGAGUUUUUUCAGCAGUGUGCAACAUCCCUAUGUUAGAUAGAGAAUAAAGUGUGGAUCUACUUCUGUCAUACAGAAUUGUCAGCUCAUUCUAAAAUAAAGAUGUGGGUGAUUUGUG